rnacentral:misc_RNA from 1 species
GAUGAAGAACGUAGCGAAAUGCGAUACGUAAUGUGAAUUGCAAAUUCAGUGAAUCAUCGAGUCUUUGAACGCACAUUGUGCCCCCUGGUAUUCCGGGGGGCAUGCCUGUCCGAGCGUCAUUGCUGCCCUCAAGCACGGCUUGUGUGUUGGGCCCCGUCCUCCGAUCCCGGGGGACGGGCCCGAAAGGCAGCGGCGGCACCGCGUCCGGUCCUCGAGCGUAUGGGGCUUUGUCACCCGCUCUGUAGGCCCGGCCGGCGCUUGCCGAUCAACCCAAAUUUUUUAUCCAGGUUGACCUCGGAUCAGGUAGGGAUACCCGCUGAACUUAAGCAUAUCAAUAAGCGGAGGA